UACGGAGGGGACUAGCGUUGUUCGGAAUUACUGGGCGUAAAGCGCACGUAGGCGGAUUUGUAAGUCAGGGGUGAAAUCCCGGGGCUCAACCCCGGAACUGCCUUUGAUACUGCGAAUCUCGAGUCCGGAAGAGGUGAGUGGAAUUCCUAGUGUAGAGGUGAAAUUCGUAGAUAUUAGGAAGAACACCAGUGGCGAAGGCGGCUCACUGGUCCGGUACUGACGCUGAGGUGCGAAAGCGUGGGGAGCAAAAAGG
rnacentral:rRNA from 1 species